GCCCUUAGAGUUUGAUCAUGGCUCAGAACGAACGCUGGCGGCAUGCCUAACACAUGCAAGUCGAACGAGACCUUCGGGUCUAGUGGCGCACGGGUGCGUAACGCGUGGGAAUCUGCCCUUGGGUUCGGGAUAACAGUUGGAAACGACUGCUAAUACCGGAUGAUGACUUCGGUCCAAAGAUUUAUCGCCCAGGGAUGAGCCCGCGUAGGAUUAGCUAGUUGGUGAGGUAAAGGCUCACCAAGGCGACGAUCCUUAGCUGGUCUGAGAGGAUGAUCAGCCACACUGGGACUGAGACACGGCCCAGACUCCUACGGGAGGCAGCAGUGGGGAAUAUUGGACAAUGGGCGAAAGCCUGAUCCAGCAAUGCCGCGUGAGUGAUGAAGGCCUUAGGGUUGUAAAGCUCUUUUACCCGGGAUGAUAAUGACAGUACCGGGAGAAUAAGCCCCGGCAAGGG
rnacentral:rRNA from 1 species